AAUCUAUGGUAAGGACACCUUCGCAUUAGGUCCUUGUAUCUUUCCCAUGCAUCGUAAAGAGUUUCUAAGUCCAUCUGUACAAACGAAGAGAUAUCAUUACGUAAAUU
rfam:Gossypium hirsutum cultivar TM-1 chromosome 12, whole genome shotgun sequence